rnacentral:rRNA from 1 species
UACGUGGGGUGCAGGCGUUAUUCGGAAUUACUGGGCGUAAAGCGUGCGCAGGCGGUUUCUUAAGUCAGAUGUGAAAGCCCCGGGCUUAACCUGGGAACUGCGUUUGAAACUGGGAGACUUGAGUGUGGCAGAGGGGGGUGGAAUUCCACGUGUAGCAGUGAAAUGCGUAGAUAUGUGGAGGAACACCGAUGGCGAAGGCAGCUUACUAGGCUGUAACUGACGCUGAGGCACGAAAGUGUGGGGAUCAAACAGG